rnacentral:ncRNA from 1 species
AAGCCCUUGCUAUGGUGUGGUGUGUGGAAACGCCCCAAAUGUUAUUCGUAACAUAGGACACCUAAAGCAAGGGCUUUU